GUCUUAUCCAGCAUGUUCUAGGGAACUGGCCCGUUGAGAACACAGCAACCUACCUUGUGCAAGGUGCUAAUUCCAGCAGCAAAGCGCUGAUCGAUAAGGA
rnacentral:ncRNA from 2 species